rnacentral:tRNA from 1 species
GCUGGAGUGGCGGAACUGGCAGACGCGCAUGGCUUAGGACCAUGUGGAGCAAUCCAUGAGAGUUCGAGUCUCUCCUCCAGCA